UAAGGAAUAUUGGUCAAUGGACGAAAGUCUGAACCAGCCAUGCCGCGUGGAGGAUGAAGGUCCUCUGGAUUGUAAACUUCUUUUAUCUGGGACGAAAAAAGGUCUUUCUAGAUCGUCUGACGGUACCAGAUGAAUAAGCACCGGCUAACUCCGUGCCAGCAGCCGCGGUAAUACGGAGGGUGCAAGCGUUAUCCGGAUUCACUGGGUUUAAAGGGUGCGUAGGUGGGUUGGUAAGUCAGUGGUGAAAUCUUCGAGCUUAACUCGGAAACUGCCAUUGAUACUAUCAGUCUUGAAUAUUGUGGAGGUUAGCGGAAUAUGUCAUGUAGCGGUGAAAUGCUUAGAUAUGACAUAGAACACCAAUUGCGAAGGCAGCUGGCUACACAUAUAUUGACACUGAGGCACGAAAGUGUGGGGAUCAAACAGGAUUAGAUACCCUGGUAGUCCACGCCCUAAACUAUGGAUACUCGACAUACGCGAUACACUGUGUGUGUCUGAGCGAAAAGCAUUAAGUAUCCCCACCUGGGGAAGUACGAUCGCAAGAUUGAAACUUAAAUGAAUUGACGGGGUCAUAGCUGUUUCCUG
rnacentral:rRNA from 1 species